rnacentral:tRNA from 1 species
CGAGGUGUGGCGCAGUUGGUAGCGCACCUGGUUUGGGACCAGGGGGUCGUCAGUUCGAGCCUGGCCACCUCGA